rnacentral:piRNA from 1 species
UAGGCUCAGAUUAAGGCCUUGACUAUUGUGU